GCAUUGGUGGUUCAGUGGUAGAGUUCUCGCUUGCUAUGCGGGGGGGGCAUGGGUUCAAUUCCCGGCCAAUGCA